rnacentral:rRNA from 1 species
AGGACGAACGCUGGCGGCGUGCUUAACACAUGCAAGUCGAGCGGAAAGGCCCUUCGGGGUACUCGAGCGGCGAACGGGUGAGUAACACGUGAGUAAUCUGCCCCUAGCUCUGGGAUAGCUCCGGGAAACCGGGAUUAAUACCGGAUACGACCACUUUAGACAUCUGUUGUGGUGGAAAGAAUUUUGGCUAGGGAUGAGCUCGCGGCCUAUCAGCUUGUUGGUGGGGUAACGCGUACCAAGGCGACGACGGGUA